rnacentral:rRNA from 1 species
CAGUCGCCGCGGUAAUACGUAGGGUGCAAGCGUAAAUCGGAAUUACUGGGCGUAAAGCGUGCGCAGGCGGUUUGUUAAGACAGAUGUGAAAUCCCCGGGCUCAACCUGGGACCUGCAUUUGUGACUGUAUAGCUAGAGUACGGUAGAGGGGGAUGGAAUUCCGCGUGUAGCAGUGAAAUGCGUAGAUAUGCGGAGGAACACCGAUGGCGAAGGCAAUCCCCUGGACCUGUACUGACGCUCAUGCACGAAAGCGUGGGGAGCAAACAGGAUUAGAUACCCCGGUAGUCCCUGUCUCUUAUAA